rnacentral:rRNA from 1 species
AAUGAACGUUGGCGGCGUGGAUUAGGCAUGCAAGUCGAGCGAGAAUUUGCGAUUGGAAGCUUCGGCCGAAGAAAGUGAAGGAAAGCGGCAAACGGCGUAGUAAGGCGUAGGUACGUACCCUCGGGUCGGGAAUAGCCAUGGGAAACUGNGGGUAAUGCCCGAUAAUCUCUGCGGAGCAAAGGUGUGAUUCCGCCGGAGGAGCGGCUUACGUGAUAUUAGCUAGUUGGUGGGGUAAUGGCCUACCAAGGCAACGAUGUCUAGGGGGUGUGAGAGCAUGGCCCCCACGACCGGAACUGAGACACUGUCCGGACACCUACGGGUGGCUGCAGUCGAGAAUCUUCCGCAAUGGGCGAAAGCCUGACGGAGCGACGCCGCGUGGUGGAUGAAGGCCCUUGGGUUGUAAACACCUGUCAGAGGGGAGUGAAAUCAUGGUUGGCAAUCCUUCCAUGUUGACAGAGCCUCAGAGGAAGCACGGGCUAAGUACGUGCCAGCAGCCGCGGUUAA